rnacentral:rRNA from 1 species
GGUGAAAAGCACCCCGGAAGGGGAGUGAAAUAGAACCUGAAACCGUGUGCUUACAAGUAGUCAGAGCCCGUUAAUGGGUGAUGGCGUGCCUUUUGUAGAAUGAACCGGCGAGUUACGAUUUGAUGCAAGGUUAAGCAGUAAAUGUGGAGCCGUAGCGAAAGCGAGUCUGAAUAGGGCGUUUAGUAUUUGGUCGUAGACCCGAAACCAGGUGAUCUACCCUUGGUCAGGUUGAAGUUCAGGUAACACUGAAUGGAGGACCGAACCGACUUACGUUGAAAAGUGAGCGGAUGAACUGAGGGUAGCGGAGAAAUUCCAAUCGAACCUGGAGAUAGCUGGUUCUCUCCGAAAUAGCUUUAGGGCUAGCCUCAAGUGAUGAUUAUUGGAGGUAGAGCACUGUUUGGACGAGGGGCCCCUCUCGGGUUACCGAAUUCAGACAAACUCCGAAUGCCAAUUAAUUUAACUUGGGAGUCAGAACAUGGGUGAUAAGGUCCGUGUUCGAAAGGGAAACAGCCCAGACCACCAGCUAAGGUCCCAAAAUAUAUGUUAAGUGGAAAAGGAUGUGGCGUUGCCCAGACAACUAGGAUGUUGGCUUAGAAGCAGCCAUCAUUUAAAGAGUGCGUAAUAGCUCACUAGUCGAGUGACACUGCGCCGAAAAUGUACCGGGGCUAAACAUAUUACCGAAGCUGUGGAUUGUCCUUUGGACAAUGGUAGGAGAGCGUUCUAAGGGCGUUGAAGCAUGAUCGUAAGGACAUGUGGAGCGCUUAGAAGUGAGAAUGCCGGUGUGAGUAGCGAAAGACGGGUGAGAAUCCCGUCCACCGAUUGACUAAGGUUUCCAGAGGAAGGCUCGUCCGCUCUGGGUUAGUCGGGUCCUAAGCUGAGGCCGACAGGCGUAGGCGAUGGAUAACAGGUUGAUAUUCCUGUACCACCUAUAAUCGUUUUAAUCGAUGGGGGGACGCAGUAGGAUAGGCGAAGCGUGCGAUUGGAUUGCACGUCUAAGCAGUAAGGCUGAGUAUUAGGCAAAUCCGGUACUCAUUAAGGCUGAGCUGUGAUGGGGAGAAGACAUUGUGUCUUCGAGUCGUUGAUUUCACACUGCCGAGAAAAGCCUCUAGAUAGAAAAUAGGUGCCCGUACCGCAAACCGACACAGGUAGUCAAGAUGAGAAUUCUAAGGUGAGCGA